rnacentral:rRNA from 1 species
GGAGUUAAGAAAUGUAGGUGUGCUAAUAUCACGCCUAUUCGACGAAGGCUCCAAAGGAAGUCACGGCUAACUCUGUGCCAGCAGCCGCGGUAAUACAGAGGUGGCAAGCGUUGUUCGGAAUUAUUGGGCGUAAAGAGCACGUAGGUGGGUUUGUAAGUCAGAUGUGAAAGCCUCCUGUUCAACGGGAGAAUUGCAUCUGAAACUACUGAUCUUGAGUGUAGGAGGGGAGAGUGGAACUUCUGGU